CCGCACUUCCGGCCCGCGGGCGCCGCUCUGCUGCCUGGGCUCCUUCCUCCUCGUCCAUCUCUGUAUUCCCCAGCGGGCAGCACCUGGGUCAGGAGAAGAGAAAGCCAGGCUAAAAUGAUCUCUCAGCUUUGGGAAGAUAGUGGCUUAGUAUAGGUGGAAGAAGCAGGGUCAUCAGGAGAUGACUAAGUAGUACAGACUUCAGGUGUGGUAGAAUUGUAAGUAAUAAGAAAAUGAUGGGUAAUAAGUAUAAUAAUACUCAAAUUAAUAUUUAUUGAUGGCUCAUCCAAAGCUUGGCACUCAUUAACAUGUUUAAUCCUAUGAAUGGUCUUAUUAAGUACCAUUUUUUCAGAUGAUGAAAUGGAGGCUUAAUAAUUUGUCUGUAUCCUCACAGAUAGAAAAUAGCAUAUUGGAAUUUCAUUUCUGCUGCCAGUACUUGUGGGCUCAUCACUGAACAAAAAUCACUGUGUACUUAGUGCUUUUUUUAAAAAAAGGGUAAAAUAGGUCAGAAAUGAAUCCCUUAGAGAAAUCAUAUUGAUUAUAUGAUAUUGGCAGGGGGCAAAAUUUGAAAGUAGAAUUUUCAAGUCCAUGCUUUAUCACUUCAGCAUUUGUUAGCAGCCUAAAGAGGAUUUGGGGCCUGUAAACAGACCCAUGAUUAUUUAUUUUUUUGUUGAUACACUCUGAUAAGUCCUAAUCUUUCUGAGCAGGAAAAUGUCACUUUAUAACAGUCACAAAUAGAGUAUUUCUUAAGAACUAAUGCUGUGUCUAGCUAUAAAUAUCUUGGUAGAGCAUGCAUAUUGUAUAUUUUGUGGAGUGAUAGAUUGUCCUGGAAAUGUAACUUUAGGUCAGCUUCCAAAUUUCAUUUUUAUUUUGUUGGAAAAAAUGAGCUUUGUGUAGUCAUUGGAUUUAUGAAAUUUGAUUUUACAAACUGAAGAUGAAAUGGUUUUCCCAAAGGUCACAAUGAAAGUUUUGCAGCAUUGGCUACAGGUAAAUUCCUCCAAGGAGUCAAAGUUCAUUUCCAGAGUUUGCAUUUAAUUAGUAAGAUUUUUUUAGUGGUUAUACAGCUUUCAAGUGGUAGCACAGGACUUACAAUGCAUACAAACAGUUUCACUUGAGAGUGGGAGUUCCUUGAAAUGGUUGUGAAUACCUGAGGCUUCAGGUUAUCAGUGUCCAGUCACCCUGGGAAUGACUGUGUUAGGGCAUUUAUCCCAGAAUGAUAGUUUGGCCUCUAAAUGGUUUAGGGUUUUUCUUGACAGUGAGACACAAAUGCUCCUGGCACACCAAUUAUGUCCAAAAGGAGGUUGGGCAUCGAAGAAACUCGUUAUGGAGUUUGCCUUCAACAUGGCAAAAUUAGCCCUUUGGGCAAGAAACUGCUCUUGCCUGGACUGUUUGUUGCUGUAUAAACUGGACAGGCAGGACCCAUAAGAAAGUGACUGCUGAACUUACAAAACAAAAUGAACAGUCCUGAAGGGUUCCUGCUGAAAUGGAGAAGUCUGCCAGACACACUGUGGCCUAUAGGCUGAAGAUGGAUGCCCCAACUUUACAGGGGAACUUCAGGUGCCUGUCCAGGCAGGGAGAUGUCUCUGUCGGUUCUAGAGUUUAUAUAUUAUCCUUCUGUGGUCUUUGAUGGAGUUGAAGAUACAUGUUAUGGUUAUAGUUUUCUUCAGUUAUUAUAAAAGAUAAAUUACCCUUCUUUUUAUUUAGACAAAAAAGAGAUGAUGGGGAAUGGCCUUCUGUGUAUAUGUUUAUCUUAUUGGUUGUUGAAUAAAGCACUGUUGGCCAAUAGGGGAGCAAGAUAGGUGGGACUAGGAGUUGAGGAGAAUUCUGGGAAAUGUAGGAAAGAGAAGUCUGGUGAUCCAGGCAGGAAGUCACAUAGCAGGCAGAGUCAGAAUUUAAGCAAGGACAAGCAGGAAGUCAUUCUCUUUCUCUUCCUCUUCCUUCUGCUCUCUGCUGUGGAGCCACCAUGUGAUCCCGGGAAGAAGACACCAGUGGAAGGCAUUCUCAAUAAGCUUUUAAAAUGAGAGUUAGACAUGAGCCUACACUUGAGAUGAGGGAUAGACAGCACCCUCUCUGCUAUGGAAGACGCACUGAUCACAGCAGAGUUCUCUUCACACAUGGCAGACUGCUGCAACUGAAUCCAGGUCGAUACCACAUAGAAAGCAGCACAGCAAGAAGGUGAUUUGUUCUGAUGCCCAUUAAUAUGAAUGUCAUGAAACAAUAUGAAUGUCAUGCACCCUCUAACUAAAUACAUUAUGGGAUGUGUUUCAUUUGUUUUCCUGUGUGUGACCCUUUGGAGGAGUUCAGAACAACUUUUCUUGUGAGAAGACUCACUGAGGGAAUGUAGUUGGGGGACAGUACAAUUGUGCCCCUGCUAAGGUGACGUUUCUUUUCCCUGGGCUGUUUCCAGUCAAUGACUGAACGUAGCUGAGUUAACCAGGACCAGGACUCUUUCAGAGUCAGCCAUGGCAUGGGCAUCCACAUUGGCUUGGCUCAGAAAUUCUCAGAGCUGCAUUGUAGUCUGAAGCUUUUCCUUCCCAACUUCCUUCUUCACAGAUGUUGCAUGUGUGUUGCUGCCUCACAGAUGUUGUAUGUGUCUUGUUGGCUCACAUGUAGUGCUGGUUCUCAGAUGUUGCACAUGUAUUUCCAGCUCUCAGAUGUUACAUGUAUAUUGCUAGCUGAAGUUCUCUCUGCCUCUGUGCUCCUUGACACCUUAUCCUUCAUCGCCAAGUUCCCCAAUAAAUAUCUCCAGCAUUUAAUCCUGUCUUGGUGUCUGCUUCUUAGAAAGCCUGAAUUGUUGCAGGAGGUUCCAGCAGCAGCGGUCCAGAAAACAUUCAUGAGAAGGGAUCCAGGGACUGGCUCACUUAUUGCCUUGUUGACAAGAAGAAUUACAUCCUGAAAGGAAUAUGGGAUAGGUCUGCUCUGCAGCCCAAUUGACAAAGAAUUUACCUGUGAUGACAAGUGGAAAAUGUCUAGGUGGAGAAUAACAUCUUUACCAGUUUGAUCAUUCAGGUGUUUGCCUGCACGAUGGCAGAUGUGCAUACCUGUUAGGGGACAAUUUGUGGGAGUUGGUUCUCUCCUUCUAUCCUGUGGAUUCCAAGGAUCAGACUCACGUCACCAGGCUUGGAGGCAAGCACUCUUACCCAAUGAAGGGUUUUGCCGUCUCACAUUUCUCCUUUUGGAUCGAUGUCACAGCUAUGAGGAAGCUGUCCCAUACAUGUGGGCUCCCAUCAUUUCCUAAACUCCAGGUUCUUCUGUUCCUUUUCGGGUAUUACAUCUGUCUUUCUAGAAGUUAGCUAGUGCAAACCUGACUGUGUACAAUUUUGAUCUUGAUGUUUUCUGUCAUCUCGGAAGUUCAGUGAUUCAUAUAUUGAUGGCCCAAAUGAAACAUAAACAUCUUGUUCACCAACAAAAAAAUGGAGUGGUGUGUUGAUUUGGGCUUCAUGGAAGGAAGAUGGGGAAAGGACCAAAGGUGGCAGCAGAACGGAUUUACCCUUUCAUCUCAGUUCCUAGCCCUCUCCUAUGAUUCUCAUCCUCUUCUUGACUUGCCCUGGCAGGGAGCUAUUAGCUUCAAAGGGAAUAGAAUUAUUUGUGAGUAGAAAGAAAUCAGGAAGUGUCAGCUUCAUAUCCAUUCUAGAGGCAAGAAGAUCAAGAUCUAUGUCCACGGCCUGCCUCAAAGCAAUACAACCAGGAUUCCUGUUUGUUAGCAGUUGAGGGCAGAGGAGGUGGGCCCUGACAGUAAAUGUGAUGAUGCUUUUUAGUCCAGAAAAUGCUCUGUGGAUGCCAGCUAUUACCAUUCUUUCUGAAAAGCCGUUUGCAGGAGUGUUUGCCUGAAGCCCUCAUGGUGCACAAAUGAGGCAGCAGCAGCUCAGAGGUGAUUCAUUUUAGAGCAUAUGCCUUAUUACAGCAGGGAAAAGUGACCCACAUUAUCUGCUCAGUGCCCACUUGACAGUCUUGGUGGAAUAAAAAAGUCACCCACCAUCUCUCCUGCACUGAAUCGGUAUGUGCUGAAGUGGCCUGUCCCUGAGCUGCCACAAAACAAAAUGUAAAGUGGUUUGCCACUGAGCCUUCCUGACUGCUUCAUAUGUGACAGACAUCCUUUGGCAGCCCUGGGCACCAAAUUAGUAUUAGUGUUAAAAAGACUAUCACCUAUUUCAAAGAGAAAGGGAAAAGUAUUGCACUGCAUAAUUGUAACCAGGGACCAGUGAAUUGUAUAAAAAAAAAAAGGAGGAAAAUUAGGAUCAUGAUGGGUAAUAUGUAUCAUUUGUGCUUAGAGACAUACCAAAAUUAAAUUAAAACACACACACAGACACACAGACACACAGACACACAGAUACACACACACACACACACACACACACACACACACACACACACACACACGAACGCACGCAUGCAUGAGCGCAUGCACGCGGUUAUAUUGUCCAAAUAUAUCUGUCAGGCAUGUGAUUGCCUGUAGUGUUCCAUGGCAGAAAUAUGUCUUGUUUGCAGGUAGUCCGUAAUCUGUGAUAGAUCAUGCAGAUAAAGGCACAAUAAAUAUUUGAAAAAUAAUAGCUACAAAAGACAAGAAUACUAGGAAAUUUUGGAAAGAAUAUAAACAGUGAUAGAAUAUCUAUCCGGAAGGAUUAUUGCACAAGGAAUUUUGGCAGCUCACAUAUCAUGUGAGAACAGAAUAAAUAGGGACAGUCCUGAAGCAGCAAAGAGUUUGCAGUGGAUGUUGGGCAUGCAGAGGUGGAGGUGGAUGCAACCGUCCCUCGGUGCCCCUCAUUUGCACACACCCCUUCCCGUAACUGCAAGGGUGUGUUAGGCAUAUACUUACCAUUCUAUGGUAGUCUAUACAUUUUAACAUGGUCAAGCAUGUUAAAAUGUAUAAGCAUGGUUUGCACCACUGCUUCUUUCCAGACCAACUUCCUGGGCCACACUUCUUCAUGUAACAGCUGGAGAUGCCCCUGGGAUUUAAGUAAGGUGACUUUAGGAUGCCUUUCAAUUACAUUUAGUGGGAUAUAGCUGUGAGGGUCACAGUCACCUCCAUAUGUAGUUGAGUUGUUCCCAAUCUUUUAGUGUAGGAAUGACUUGCACUCAUAUUCCUGCUGUCCGCCUUUGCAGGAUGGUGUGGUUCUAGUGGUCGCAUAGUGAAAUGAACACUGUCCCAAUAAUACCUGAAACUGGAAGACUGUGUGUGGUGUAAGAAAAGCAGGUUUGAAAUGCACAAGAGUAGAAGUUACUCUGGAACAUUCUUUUGGUUAUCUGGCAUGUAAUACUUUUUUUUUUAAUUUGUGAUAAAAUAGACACAACAUAAAGCUACCAUUGUUAUUAGCUGUUUUUUUAACAUAAUGCUCAGUAAUAUUAAACACACGUAUGUUGUUGUAUCACCAUUACCAGCAUCCACACACAGAUUCAGAAAUCUUUCGCAGCUGAAACUCUGUACUCACUGAACAAUAAUUCCCAUUUUUUCUUUUUUUUCCAGGUUUUAGUUACCAAUAUUCCACUUUCUGAUUCUACAAAUUUGACUAUUCAAAAUGUAAAAUAUAAAAAUUGACUAUUCCAGGAACUUUAUUGUAUAAAUAGAAUCAUGCCAUAUUUGUCUUUUGUGACUGGCAUAUUUCAUUUGGCAUGAUGUCCUCAGGGCUCAUCCAUGUUGCCACCUGUCAGAUCGGCCUUCUCCCUUAAAGUUUGAAUUUCUUCCAUUGUCUACAUGAAUUGCAUUUUGUUUCAGUGAUAAUCUAUUUACCAACAUUUGGUUUGCUUCUACCUUUCAGAUGUUGAAAAGAAAAUGCUAAAAUGAACAUGAGUAUACUGUAUUUCUUAGAGUCUCUCCUGCUUUCAAAUUUUCAAGUACACCUGAUGUGUAAAAUUUUAAGAGGACAAUUAGAUUGUCAUUGAUGCCUAGUUAAAGUGGAAAUUCUCAUUUAUUAUGAAUACUUUUUUAUGAGAUGAGUAUUGACGGUGCUUGCCUUUAGUUGCAGCACCCUGGAGGCAGAGGCAGGUGGAUCUUCGAGUUUGAAAUCAGCUUGGUCUACCCUGUCUCAAGAAGAUAUUCUUUAUGAUGUAGCAAUGCAGUCAGAAACAUAACACAUAUAUAGCAUUUUAAUUUGUAUGUUGGUUAGGUUUUAUCAACUUGACAUAAGCUAUAGGUAGCUGGGAUAAGGAGUCUCAUUGAGAACAUGACUCAAUCAGAUUGCCUGCAGGAAGCUCUGUAGGGCAUUUUCUUGAUUAAUGAUUUAUGCAGGAGAGAAAGCCCAGCUUAGUGGAGGCAAUGCAACUACUGGGUGUUUCUGGAUGGUAUAAGGAGGCAGGCGACCAAACCAUUGAGAGAAAGCUAGCUAGCAUGUAUCAUUUUUCCAUAGCCUCUGCUUCAGUUCCUCUUGCUUCUAGGUUCCUGCCUUGAGUUCCUGCCCUGACUUCCCUUCAUGGUGGGCUAUAAGCUAUAAGAUGAAAUAAACCUUUCUUCCUCAAGUUGCUUGGCCAUGUGUUCACCAUAGCAAUAGAAAGCAAACUAAGACAACAUAUUUAAUGCAAAAUUGCACCAAGUACAAUUUGUCUGAAUAAGUAUACUUGCAGCACAAUUCUAUUCCAGCAUUACAAAAAGUGAUGAUUUGUGAGGUAACGCUUUAUAUAUUACAGCGAUUCAAAAUGUUUUGAUUAAUCAUCAUUGAAGAAAGAUUACUUAUGUUUCUGUUUUUCCUAGAAAUAUACGAAAUCAUUCAUAUGGAGAGGCCAUCAGACAAUCUGACACAAGUCUGGGAAAUGGAAUGACAGAGACAUCAGGGCAGGCAAGUUGAUUUAGCUUGCUGUCAGGCCUCAUGACCUGAAUUAGAUCACUAGACACGCAUCAUGGAAGAAGAAAACUGAUUCCCACAAGUUACUCUCUGACCUCUACACUGGUGCAAUGACAGGCGUGUACAUGCACAGGCAUUCAUAACAAUAAGUUUCUUCUUAUAACUGCCUUAAAUCUUCAACCAAGGUUCUGGAAACUCCUUAAGCAGAAGACAAACAAUUCAGAAUAACUUCAGGAAGUCCUUGAAACUGACCAGAUUUACUAGGCCCCUCCCUGCCAUUAAAGCUGAGAGUCCCUUUCAGAAGAUCUGAGUCAUGCAGCAAAGAAGACUGGCACCACCCAAGCCCCAUAGCUGAGCUGCAAAGACUCUGAGACCAGACCGGCUGUCUGCAAGAAACAGAAACCAGUGGAGCUGCAUGGAAGAGGUUGAGACUGAAGCACCUGGAAAGGACACUCUCCGACCCGUUGAACUACCUGAAGGCUGUGCAAUGUGCUCUAGGUUCCCAACUUUGUGAGUUGUCACUUGUGCUAGAGUGAGCUUCAGUGAUGCAGCUGUCUUUGGGUCAUUACUGUUCCUUUAAAUAACCCUUCACCCAUAUUCCUGUAAGUAACCUCAAUAAAACACAUUAAUUUGCCAAA
ensembl:lncRNA